UUAGUAUUUUUAUUAUAUAUUUUAUUUUUUUAAUAAAUUAUUUUAAUUACAAUAUUUGUUUAUUACUUUUUGAGAUUAAUAUUUUUGUUAUAGUGUAUUUUACUGUGAAGGAUUUAAUUAUUUUUUUUUGAAUAAUAUUUUUUUUAGUACCUUUUGUAUCAGGGUUAAUUAAAUUUAAAAAUUUAUUUUUUUUUCCCGAAAGUUUAAGAUUUAAAUUUAUUUGUAAAUUUUUGUUUUAUAAAAAUUUAAAAAUUGAUUUUGGAUUUGAAAUGAAAUUCGUUUAAUUUGAUAUCUGGUUACCUAAGAAUUCAAUUUAAUUGAGGAAAAAAAAUUUUUAUAUAUUUUUUUUUUUUUAUCUGAUUUUAAGAGGGAUAAGCUUUUUUUAAUAAUAUAAUUUAUAUAUUUUAAAUUUAUGUAGGAUUAGAAUUUUUCUUCAUUUUAAGUUUUUACAAAAAUGUAUUUAUUUUAUUUUUUUAUUUAUUUAUUUAUUAGGUUUUGUUAAUGAAUUUUUUUUUAUUUAAUUAUGAUUAAAUAAGUAAAUUUUUAAAAUUGAUUUAUGAAUUCGGCAACUUUUUUUUCGCCUGUUUAUCAAAAACAUGUCCUGAUGAUUUUAUUUCAGGUCGGGCCUGCUCAGUGAAUAUUUUUUAACAGCCGCGGUAAUUUAACUGUGCUAAGGUAGCAUAAUCAUUAGUCUUUUAAUUGAGGUCUCGUAUGAAUGGUUUGACGAAAAAAUAUCUUUAUUGAUUAAUAUGUAUUGAAUUUUAUUUUUUUUUAAAAAAGAAAAAAUGUUAAAGAGGGACGAUAAGACCCUAUAGAUCUUUAAAACUUAAAAUUUACUGAAUUUUUUGUUGUUUUUUUUUACUUUAUUUUGGGUUCUUUAGUUGGGGUGAUUAUAAAAAAUUUAAGCUUUUAUUUUUUUUUACAUUUAUUUUUGGUUUUCUUGAUCCUGAUUUUUGGAUUAUAAGAGUAAGAUACCUUAGGGAUAACAGCGUAAUUGAAUUGGAGAGUUCAAAUCGAUAAUUUAGUUUGCGACCUCGAUGUUGGAUUAAUUGGAAGUUGUGGGGUAGGUUUUACAAUUUUAGGUCUGUUCGACCUUUAAAUAAUUACAUGAUCUGAGUUCAGACCGGCGUGAGCCAGGUUGGUUUCUAUCUUUUUUAAUUUAUUUUUAAUUAGUACGAAAGGACUUUUAAAAUAUAAAAUUUAUU
rnacentral:rRNA from 1 species